rnacentral:lncRNA from 1 species
AAUUCUGUGAGUUUCCGCGUGGUAACUCCCAGGAAGGGCAUCCUGGCUGUUUGGAGACAGCUCUAUGGGAGGCUGAGAGGAAGAGGGAGAACACAGAGCUUCCCCUCAUCUGACCCAGCCUUUAGAGCCCUGAACUAUCUGCACAGAACAGAAGAAUCUUCUUCAGAGCUUCAGAGGACAAGUGAAAUAUUUCAAGUUUCCAUUGUUGGAAGAAUGAUGGAAAACCCAAAGGAAUCUAAACCUUCCUUCUCUGGUCACCCUGGUAGCCACCUCAGAAGACUCAGAGACAUUUUGGUGAGGCUCACACAGGUGAGUAGCUUUAGUUAUGGGAAUCUU